CCACUAUUAUUUUCAGUGUAAUAUCCACUACAAAAAUGCACUGCAGAGGGGAAGAACAUGGAGGGGGGAACAGCUAGAGGAAACGGGAAUAAGCGCCAACCAAGGGGGCGAUUCCUCCAUGAUCUGGGACAGAAACCUGAAGAUGAUCCACUCUGCCGAAGAUGACUAAACACAGGUAAACACCCCCAACUUUGCAAUCACCACAUACUAAGUAUGAUUUAGACAGAUUUCUCUCCCCUGCCUGUCUACAUCAGAAAUCAAACAAAAGGCGCCUGUGAACCAUUAUAUAUACAUGCUGGAGAGACAAAUAAACUAAAAAAAGAUGAAUUCUGGAACUUUACACUAGAACCAGGAAAUCAAAACUAGAUCCAGGAAGAACCCUAGGAUCCUAUGAGUCUAGGGGUGCAGGAGCAGAAAGGUUAGGAAACAAAAAAUCCAUGUUAAAUUCGUGAAUUUCAGAACUAGUAGGAAGUUUCUGAAUUGAAAACAACAGAUACAACCCAUGGAAAUGAGUAUAAAAAAGAUAGGGGAUCACAUGUUCUGGGAGAUAAAAUACAAAAAGUUAGGAAAAUCCUUGAACAAACAAGUUAGAAUUGCUAUAUUUUCAUAAAGCUAGGACUGUAAUUCAGAAACUUUCGCACACACAAACUAUACACUAAUCAGGAACUUAGAUCAUGAUUACAAAAUAACUCUUGUAAAGAAGCUAGGGCUGAAUUUUAUAAACUUUGGAACUACAUAGAAAGACCUUUCUUUCCUACUUGAAGUUCAAAUUGCUACAAACUACUAUUUGUAAACACAAAUGAGUACACACAGGCAGUAAUAAAAUGAUCAAUUAUCAUAUCAAUUAAGCCUAUGAACUGACAAAAAGGGGCAAACACAUGUACAAGCAGACAGUACAUGUUUCAAGAUUAACAGAACAAUGCUUAUAUACAUGUUUACAUUACAGGUGCCUGCAAAGGAAUCAAAUGGGAUGGAAACAAGCAUGAAGGGCCAGAAUUUGUACCUCGAACAUGAUGAAGCUAAGUUCCUUAAUGUAUGACUCUCUUAUAGCAUUAACAAAUCCUGUGAAAAGAAAACCGAUUCAAUCAUGCUUUUCUAAAUUGGUUAUUGACAACAAAACAGAGCGGAGCAUACUUGUUUACUCAACAAAACAAUGCAAGUCCACUGAGAGUUACAGUGUAAAUCCAAUAAGAAUUACACUAUAAAUCCUGGAAUUACACUGUAAAACCCACUAAAUUUUACGGUGUAAGUCCACUGAGAGAUACAAUGUAAAUUCAAUGUGAAUUCCCCUAAAUAUAAUACAUAGAUAAUCCAACCCCUACUCAAAUGCAGAUUACAAAGGGGUAAAAUACCGUCCCUACCCAAAAGCACUAAGGAUUACAGUGUAAAUCCACUGAAAUUACACUGAAAAAUAUCAAGAGUUACAGUGUAAAAAACACUGAAAAUCACAGUGUAAAUCCACUAAAAACUACAGAGUAAAUCCACUGAAAAUACACUGAAAUACUCAAGAGUAACAGUGCAAAUUCCACUGGAAAAUUACAGUCUAAAUCCAGUAAAAAAUACAUUGUAAAUCCACUGAAGAUUACACUGUAAAAAUCAAGAGUUACAAUGCAUGUCCACUGGAAAUUACAGUGCAAAUCCACUAAAAACUACGGUGUAAAUCCACUUAAGCUUACAUUGUAAAUCCACUGAAAAUUACACUGUAAAAGUCAAGAGUUAAGAUGCAAGUCCAUUGGAAAUUACAGUGCAAAUCUACUAAAAUCUACAGUGUAAAUCCACUUACGCUUACAUUGUAAAUCCACUAAGAAUCCUUUGAACCCACUAAAGAAUUACAUUACAAAAUGCACUAAUGAUACAUUGAAAAUGCAUUGAGAAUUACACUACAAAAAAAUCACCUAAAUUACUAAAGUAAUUACACUGUAAAUCCACUGAGAAUUACAGUGUAAAACUACUAGGAAUACACACUAAAAUCUUCACUGUAAUUGCACUGAAAUCACCACUGUAAUUACAAUUCAAAAGCACUGUAAUUCCAGUGAAAAUGCCCACAAUAAUUACACUGAAAAUUCACUGAAACAUACACUGUACUUACAAUGCAAAUUUCAGUGAAAUUACACUAGAUUUCUAAUGAAAACACAUGAGUUUCAGAGACUGGAACACAAUGUAAUCAUAUUAAAUUAGCUGUGAUUACACUGAUUUUUAUAGAUUCAUACAAACUAUGAGCUAGAUUCAGCAUCUACAUCCAAACAGGAGGGGUCCGUAGCGACAACUACAGGAGGGAUGGUACACAGUAGGAGUUCAGCAUCUACAACCAACCAGGAGGGAUCCACCUCGACAACUACAAGAGGGAUCCACUAAAGUAAAUGAACACAACUAGGAGCUACUCGUCACAAUGGCAAGUUUGACAACUAGAGGGCAAUCUGGAAGCACAAAAAAUCAACAAUAUACAGGAAGGAUCCACCACUACAUAUACAUCGAACCACCACACCUGUAUAACAUCCAAAACAUCUAGGAACCACGGCAACACAGGGCAACAUACAAGAUUCGCCGGAUCUAGCAAAAUUCGAACAGAAAAAACAGGGAGAGGAACAAGGGGGGCAAGGAUACUUACAAAACCAACCAUGGAUGGAGGAUGAGGAGGGGGUACAAGGUUCGCAGAUCCACUCGAGGAAUAUGAGGAGUGGCACGAAGUCAAGAGAAGCAGAGAAGACAACGCAGCCAGAUCGCCAUGGCAUCGAUUUCGCCUCUCCCUCUGCGCGCGCUUGAGCACAAGGAAGCAGAGGAUGGGAAAGGGGAGUUGGAGCGGAUGCUUAACCACCGGCUUGCCCACGAGAGAUCAGCUACUGAAAUCUCUAGUCAAAAAUCGCCAUGAAUCAACGCCUCAAGCUCGCGCCGC
rnacentral:lncRNA from 1 species